UACGAAGGUGGCAAGCGUUACUCGGAAUUACUAGGCGUAAAGGGCAGGUAGGCGGUUCGGUAAGUCUGCUGUGAAAGCUCCCGGCUUAACUGGGAGAGGUCAGCAGAUACUGCCGAGCUUGAGUAUGGGAGAGGGUACUGGAAUUCCUGGUGUAGCGGUGAAAUGCGCAGAUAUCAGGAGGAACACCGAUGGCGAAAGCAGGUACCUGGACCAUUACUGACGCUCAGCUGCGAAAGCUAGGGGAGCAAACAGG
rnacentral:rRNA from 1 species